rnacentral:lncRNA from 1 species
AAACAGCAGUGGAAUCUACCCUGUAGUUUUAAUAGUUAUCAAAGGUACCAAGCUGAAUUUGAUACGCCAGACGCGCGUUUCGUCUACAUUAAGACUCGUUUAGACUCAACAGUUCAGUUGAAAAUAGUUAGAUAUCCAAACAAGUAGAAAGUUGAAGAGCAUUGAUGACCAAGAAUUCCAAAAGUUGUGCCAAAUACGUCAAAGGUAAUCUAUGCCUGGGAUAAAACAUUCUUAGUAUUUCGAAUUGUUAUUACUUUUGCAAACAGUAAAUUGAUAAAAAUGAUCAUAAAAAAUUAUCAUUGAUAUUCAUGUCACCAUCAUAGUGCUGACUCCUGGGCUGGUGAUAACCUCGGAGACGAAACAUCCACCAGCAGUGGCAUAUUUGGCGUUUUCUGUAACUGGUUUAUACAAAAAAAUAUAAAAAAAUUGGUCAAUUAACCAGUUCAUGUUUAAUUAUGCAUUGAACCUGGAAUGUCAUGGGACAAGCACAUUUAGAAUGAUAUGUGUAAGUAUAAUACAUAGCUUUGCAGUACGAUUGCCAAUGGAACAACUAUCAACCAGAUAUCAAAUGUUGUGGAUUAAAGCCUGAUUCAAAUAGUGUACUAGGAACUGUAAAAGGCCAAUAUUCCAAAGCAUCUAUAAUGAAAAAGAGAAAACCAAAUUCCUGAUUUAAAUGUAAACAUGCAAAAUACCAUGUUUGUAAUGUAAUUACUUUUUAGCAUUAGAAAUAAACAAACAAAUGAAAAUCACCUAAUUUUUGCAUUUAUUUUAUUUUCAGAACUUCGUUAGCUGUAAGAAUAUGAACUCUAUACUACUCACCAGCUACGGAAUGCAUGUGUGCAUGUCUGAAUUUGCUAACAUGUAUUUGUGAAUCACACAAACGCUUGUGCUAAAAUGACCUAUAAAAUAAAAUGAAAAAAACAUUUCAAAGCUGUCCAAUACUAUUUUAAUUCUAUGGUGCAGUAGUAUAGCAAAGAUUAAAGAUGUGUCAAAUGUGUGCAGAAUACAUGUUAUUGUUACAAAAAAAAAGAUAUUUUCAUGUUAUGAAACUAUAUCAAGGCUAUUCAUCAAGAUCAAAUUUAUGUACGAUAAAAUGUAUGUAAAUUUGCACGUAAUAUUCAAAGAAACAAAGGCGACAACCAAAUGCAAUGCUUGUAUAAAAUUUAUGGAGUUCAUUACUGGCUGAAACAAUAUAACCUUUAGGAUUGAAAGUGGCGACACGUACUAUUCAAAGAAACAAAGGCGACAACCAAAUGCAAUGCUUGUACAAAAUUUAUGGAGUUCAUUACUGGCUGAAACAAUAUAACCUUGAGGACUGAAAGUGGCGACAAACACCAUUAAUCAAUCAAUCAAUCAAAUAUAUGUUUUUUUUAUGUAUGUACACAUGAACUUGGAAAAUUGGAGAAGAAGUACUGUAGAAGUCUCUAAAUAUUUUACAAAUUUAAAGUGUAAUUUAUCCAUCCGAUUUUGUCAUACAAGUAUGAAAAAGAAACAAUGAGAUGUGGUUUGAUUGCCAAUGAAACCACUGUAGCAACGAUAUCUAGAAUUGUGUGCGUGAAUCAUGUAAAUGUAUGUCAUAUCGCUUAUUGUUCUCUGGUUUUUUUUUAUUUGUUGAACAAUCUCGCCCUUAUACCCCAUGUACAUGUAUUGCAUUUGACAUUAGUUGUCUAAGACAUUAUAAUUCAUAUGAAAACCUACCGAAGUAAGUAAUGUUAUCGAAUAACAAAGUGAUCUCCUCGUCUGUUAGUGGCUUAGCCUUUUUAGAUUUGUUGCCCUUUGGCGUUUUGUUUUAACAGCUUUUGCUUGGCCUUCAAUGUUUGUCUGGUAAGGUGAAAACUCUCAUCAUUCUCAUCCCCAACGAUAUUCUCUCAACACUACUUCUGAAUCCACUGACAGUUGAAGGUUAAUAUUCUUGGUCAUGUUUUUUCGUGCAGUAAGCACAGUUGGAAAGAGAAAAUCGAGCUCAGAACCUGGUAUAGUUUGUAUUUCUCUAUUUUUAUUUAUAAAACAAAAUUAAGUUACAUAGAAAAAAUGAAAGGAAAAUUUAAAACCAAAAUAUCUAGGAAAAUUCUUGAAACGUUAAAUCAUUGGAAAAUAAAAUAACAACCUGAUUCAAAUAUUGAAUCUUUAUUUAAUUGUUUUAAAGGACUAGAAUCAAUUAAUGUGCCAAAUAUUUGCCAGGUAUUGCCACAGAUCGACAUGGGGAAAAUAAUGAUGAUAUAAAUCUCACUAUUACAAGGGCGAAAAUAGAAGUGUGAAUAAAGCCCCAGUCCCACUAGACCACGAUCGCACCACGCUCACCGCGAUCUAAAAUGAAUUCAGAUCGUGGUGAGUUCGCGGUAUGAGCGGCAUGAAAAUGUAAAUUUUCGUUGCUUUCACGAUGCCACUACGUCCUCAUUACGCUUCUACAACGAUCCCGCUACGAUUAUACCACGUUCUCACCGCGCUUAUUCUGCGACCUCACUACGCUUAUCAAGAUCUUUCUACGCUCAUCCCGUUCUCACUACGACCAAACCACGAGUUAUCCGAUUGCAACACGAUCUUACCACGCUUCUACUGCGAUUAUAGCACGUUCUUACCACGAUUAUACUACGUUCAUACCACGAUCUUACUACGUUCUCAGCAAUAACGUCAAAAUCGUGUUCCAUAUCAAUACAGUUCCAUUUCUUCUAUUUCUGAUUAAUACGUAAGCUUUUCCAGAAACAAUACAGUCAUGCCACCAAAAUCUAUUAGAACACGUGGGCGUGGUGGUAGAGGUUGAUGUAGAGGCAGAGGGAGCUCUGAUAGUAACGAAUCCUGAUCAAGCAGAGAUGUCGGACCGACCAAUCCAACCGAAAUUACAACCUAUUGCUGGUGUCAGGGGCGGAUCCAUGCAGCAUUUUAAAAGGGGGUCCCAACCCAGGACAAAAAGGGGGGUUCCAACUAUAUGUCCCCAUUCAAAUGCAUUGAUCGUCCAACCCGCCACUGUCCCUAAAGCUCAAAUGUUGAUAUUUAAGUGAACAAUAGCAGACAUGACACAGAUGUGUCAAUAGAUAUAGUAAGAUGUGGUAUAAGGGCCAAUGAGACAACUUACCAUCCAAGUAACAAUUUUUAAAAGUAAACCAUUUUAGGCCAAUAUAUGGCCUUCAACACAGAGCAUUGGCUCUCACCGAUAGCAAGCUAUAAGGGCCCAAAAUUACUAGUGUAAACCCAUUUAAACGGGAAAACCAACGGUCUGAUCUAUAUAAAAACGAAAAGAAUGGUUGAGCCGUUAGAGAAAAUGGACAAGAAGACCUAACUAUAUACAGACAAACAAAACCUGGAGAGAUUUCAUAUAUUUUUUGUGAAAAUGACGAUGAAAAUGAUGGCCGUCAUGAACGUAGUCAGGUCGUAAGAAGAGCGUGGUGAGGACGGCAAGGGCGUGCUAGAAUCGUACUAUGGUCGUGAACAGCGUGGUAUAGUCGUAGUGGAAGCGUAGUUUGGUCGCGGUGAGAACGUGAUGGUCGUAUGAGGUCGUGAUAACGUCGCUGUGAGAUCGUAGCGCAGUCUGUCCGAAUAUAAUCACACUUUCGCUACGCUCUCGCUACGAUGUUACAGCGACCUUUGCGAUUUUACUACGAUCUAAGUACGCUCUCACUACGCUUCUACUACGACCUGAUUUCGCCACGACCACACCACGAUUGUUUUGAACAUGUUCAAAGUUGGCCACGCUCAUCACGAUCUUGAAGACCUCACAACGACCGUGAUACGACCUUACUGCGAUCUACACGAUCGUACAUUACUACGGUCAUCAAAAUUUGCAUUUUUUCACAGAUCGUAGUGUGAUCGUGGCCUAGUAGGACUGCGGUAUUAGAAAAAUGAAAAAUAAUAAAGCAUGCGUUGAAGAUGGUGUCAUAAAUGAGUGUACAACAUAUACUGUUAAUGUAUCAUUACCAUAUUUUGAAGAAAAAAAUCUAACAUGAUAUUUGACAGCAGGUAUAGAACCUAGCAAAUGGUUAAUUUGGUAAUAUGAAACCAGUUUUCAGAAACAUGAAAGACAGAUAUACAAGUAAUCAAAACAAUUUUUUGACCGCUUAUUUUAUCUGUUUUAUGAGUUAAUUACCCAGUAUACCUUUGAAUAAAAAAAUAGGACAUUUGUCAAAAUUUUUUGAAAAUUUGAAAUAAAAUCGGUGUAGUUAUAGAACUGGAUCAGUACAACCGAUAAUUCAUUUUUGUAGACGAAACGCGCGUCUGGCGUAUAUACAAAAUUUAGUCCUGGUAUCUAUGAUGAGUUUAUUUACAUAGUCAGCUUUUUCUAUGUUUGAAACAAAACAAAAUGGAUGUGAAAUUUGAGGGCAUUGUAACGUUAGACAACUCUCCACCAGAUACAACAUGGCACAGAAAUGAACAACUAUAGGUCACCGUACGGCCUUCAACAAUGAGCCAAGCAUUGAUAGUCAGCUAUAAAAGGCCCCAAAAUGACAAAUGGAAAACAAUUCAAACGAGAAAACUAACUGCUUAAUUCAUGCACAAAAAAAGAACAAAAACAAAUAUGUAACACUUAACAAACAACAUCCACUGAUUUACAGGCUCUUGACUUGGGACAUGCACAUACAUACAGAAUGUGAAGGGGUUAUACAUGUUAACUGAAUCCCAACCUUCACCUAAACCAGGACAGUGGUGUAAUAGUACAACAUAAAAACGAAACAUCUAACAAAAACCCAGAUUGAACGCGGGCGGGUACUUGUAUAUCCCAAAAACUUUUUAAGUAGACAUGUCGUUGCGUCCGUGUUUGGAAUUUAAAAUAAUUGUAAUACGGUCUCUAUGUGGUUCUGUUAAAAAAUAUAUAGAAUUCAAGAUUGUUAUAGUUUUUUAAUCAGAAUUACUUGAAAUGAUUCAUUUUACAUCGUGAUCAUACUGAUGAAGGAUAUUUGUUAUCCGAAACAUUUGUAGUUACAUUUGUUCAUUUAAUUGUUAUAUUUUUAUGAUGUUUUACUCUUUUAGACUGGUUAUAUAAACAAGUCUAAAUUAAAACAAAGUGUUCAAACUCAUGAUUGCGCAGUUAAAAACCACAAUUUUUAUACGUGUGCAUGUAAAACAGAUUUCGUUGUUUAAGCUUAAGGAUCUUAAUACAGCACAAACAACAUUUUCCAGAAGACACCAAAAGUGAAACAGAAUACUUCAACAAAACGCAUUUGACUAACAGGUCGAAUAACAAAUGUUUUUAAACUCUGCUGACUGCCAUUGAAGAUUGCCAAAUAAAUUGAUCACAAGAUGAAACAACAAAGAAGAUCAUUAUAUUAAUGUAUACCAAAUAGAAUAAAAAAAAUUGCGCCAAAGAUGGUACAUCACCAUACAAACACAGCACACACAACACACACAAAUGAGUGAAAAAAUAUAUUUUAACAAAACACAUAUAUAUAUAUUAAAGAGUUUUUAAAUUUUGUCCACGCUGUGCACAAUAUAGGGAAAAAAAUAUAAGACUGCAUUUUUUUUAGUAUAGAAUUCAAGAUUGUUAUAGUGUUUUAAUCAGAAUUUCUUAAAAUGAUUCAUUUCAUUUCAUAUAUUAUUAUAUAAUGUCUAAAAUUGCAAAAAUCAACAUUCAAUCUAUUUAGGCGUGGAUCAGUUUGUGAAAAUAAACUGAUACAGUUACUGAGUUAAAAUUAUAUAAAUGUCUAAGAACUUAACUUAAACACGAUAAUUAUUACAUUAAAACUUUCUACAUUGUUUUACAUCUUAAAUAAAAAUACGCAAUAUUCGAUAAAUAAAUUAGCUUCAUCAGGCGUGUGCAUCUCUCAAGGUGAAAUUGGAUGCAUGACAAAAAAUAUUUUGUAGUUUAAACUACACAUAUUUAUUGAUGUUGUAUAAAAGAAAAAUUGUAGCUACAACUACAUCAAAUAGGAGUGAAAGUUUAACAUAUUUAUUGAUGUUCGAUAAAUUGUAUGAAUUUCUAAAAAAAUAAUUUGUAUGAUUUCAAGAUUGUUAUUUAGAUUUGGUUUAAAUCUUUUUCGUCUCUCUCAUUAAGUCCACCAGAUUCCAAAGGGUGUAAUUGGUGCAUCCAAAAUCCCUCUCUCUUUUUUUCUUCCUUGUGUAUUCCAAUUUUGGUUUUUCUCAAUGAUUUGAAAUGUGACGUUUUCAAAAUCAUGCCCUGCUCCUAAACGAUGUCUUAUGAUUGGGCAGUUUCUUACUUUUGUAUAAAAUGACCGAUGGUUAUUUGGUCGGAUGUUAAAUGAUGCUUCGAAUUCUGUUUCGCCAACAUAUUACAACUUGCAAGUUCCCCACGUUAGAACAUAAAUACAGUUUUGCGUUUUUCAAUUUGAUGUUAUAAAGAUGUUGUAUUUUUUCUAUGUGACUGUGCUGACGAAUUGGGUUUCGAUGUUUGCGACUUUCCAGAAACUUACAAUUGCCCCUUCCGCAUGAUUUAUGACCUCCAUUAUCGAUAUCUCCUUUUUGGAUAAUUUGGGUGUUACUAGAAUAUCUUUGAGGUUUUUGGGUCUACGGUAAGCCAUGGCGGGAGGUGAUGGAAAAAUCUCUUUUAAUGUAGGAUCAUUUGUAAUAAGACGUCAGUGUUUGUGGACAAUAGAUGAAAGAUCUGUGAGGUCUGGAUGAAAGCUGACAACAAAUAGAAUUUUAUUUGUCUGGGCCGUCUUGGAUUUGUAUUCAAGUAAGUUUAUUCGAUCUUUUUCCUUUGUUUUACCAAAGCUUUUGAAAUAUUUUUGUUGAGCCUUCGACUUUAGUCGAAAAAGCGAGACUAAGCGAUCCUACAUUCCGUCGUCGUCGUCGUCGGCGGCGGCGUCCACAAAUAUUCACUCUGUGGUUAAAGUUUUUGAAAUUUUAAUAACUUUCUUAAACUAUACUGAAUUUCUACCAAACUUGGACAGAAGCUUGUUUAUGAUCAUAAGAAAGUAUCCAGAAGUAAAUUUUGUAAAAAUAAAAUUCCAUUUUUUUCCGUAUUUUACUUAUAAAUGGACUUAGUUUUUCUGCGAGGAAACAUUACAUUCACUCUGUGGUUAAAGUUUUAAAAUUUUAAUAACUUUCAUAAACUAUCCUUGAUAUGUACCAAACUAGGACAGAAGCUUGUUUAUGAUUAUAAGAUAGUAAGAAGAAGAAAAUGUUGUGAAAAUAAAUUUCCACUUUUCCGUAUUUUACUUAUAAAUGGACUUAGUUUUUCUGCGAGGAAACAUUACAUUCACUCUGUGGUUAAAGUUUUUAAAAUUUUAAUAACUUUCAUAAACUAUCAAGGAUUUGUACCAAAUUUGGACAGAAGCUUGUUUAUGAUCAUAAGAUAGUAUCAAGAAGAAAAUUUUGUAAAAAUAAAUUUCCACUUUUCCGUAUUUUACUUAUAAAUGGACUUAGUUUUUUUGCCAGAAACAAAACAUUCACUCUGUGGUUUAAGUUUUAAAAUUUUUUAUAAUGUUCUUAAACUAUCCUGGAUUUCUACCAAACUUAGACAAAAGCUUAUUUCUGAUCAUAAGAUAUUAUUCAGAAGUAAAUUUUGUAAAAAAAAAAUCACUUUUUCCGUAUUUUACUUAUAAAUGGACUGAGUUUUUCUUCCAGUUAACAUUACAUACAGUCUGCAGUUAAAGUUUAUAAAACAUUUAUUAGAUUCAUAAAUUAUCCUGGAUUUUUUUUACCAAACUUGGAAGCUUCUUUCAAUCAAAAGACAGUAUCGUCAGGGAAAUUUUUAUUGAUGUUUUUCCUCAUUUUUGUUGAGUCUGCGAUUAACAGAAAAAGUAGGCGAGACACCGGGUUCCGUGGAACCCUUACGAAUUUUUGUUCUUAUAAUCUCUUGAUUUAAGUUGCUGUCUGAGUUGUCCCAAACAGUGGUUUGUUUUGAUUCCGAUGAACAAAUCCGUUUUAAUCUGAUGGCUUGGCUGUAUGGGAUGCUCCAGGAGCAGUGUUUUGGGUGAAAACUCUUCGGAGAGAGAAAUUGGUGUAUAUCCGUUUUUUUUUAUGAAGGUCGAUUGUCAUGACUCCGUUUUUUAAAGUUAUGGCGGUAUCGAGAAACGCAAUUUUCUCAUUUGAAACUUCAGAUGUGAACUUUAAAUAUUGAUGACAGUUGUUACAGAAAUCACGAAAUUCUUGCAGACGUUCUGCAGUUUUGUUCCAUUUGAUAGUCGAUGUCAUCAAUAUAAUGGAGCAAAGACAACGGCUUGUAUGGUACACUCGAAAGGAUACGUUUUUCGAGACUCUCCAUGAAAAUGUUGGCAAAGGAAGGUGCCAUACUGGAACCGUCAAUCUGCAAGUAGUGCUGAUCGCUGAAUACAAAACUGUUGUUUUCGCGCACUAGUUUCAGCAACUGAACCAGACAGACUGUUAGGGAUGUUUAUUCAUACUUGUUCACAAGCGACUACUCCUUCAUUUUUCGGAAUAUUGGUGUAUAACGAAGACACAUCAUCGAUACCAAAAUUGUGUUGUUUGGUAUGGUAUUUAAUGAAUCUAUGUUCUUCAAAUAAUCUGUAGUAUAUUGAAUGAAGGAUGGAAUUGUUCUAACAUGUGGUCUAAGAUUGUAAUCCACGAAUUCAGAUAUUUUUUCGGUUGGAUGGCCAUUGUCAGAUACUAUCGGUCUUCCCGGGAUUCAUUCUUUAUGAAGUUUUAGGAGCAUGUAAAAGCGACAGGCUGUGCAGGUUUCAUCAGGGCGUAGAUAGUCGUACGUGUCGUCUAUGGAACGCCAACACUGUCUUAUUAUGCCCAUUUUUCAUUAUAUGUUGUGCAUUUACCUUUAUAUGAUGUGUAUUUACCUUUAUAUGAUGUGCAUUUACCUUUAUAUGAUGUGCAUUUACCUUUAUAUGAUGUUUAUUUACCUUUACAUGAUGUGCACUUGUCAUCAUAUGAUGAGCAAAUAUCCUUAUAUGAUGUGCAAACAUCAUUAUAUUGUGACGAAGUCAUUAAUGGAUAAAUAUAUUUUAUUACGUAAUUACAAAGUCAAGAAAUAUUCUAAAGUUCAAAUGUUCGAAUGUUUACAAACUGUCUUUAAAGUUGAAUUGUUCGAAUGUUCAAUAUCUCACACGGGCACGUGAUCGUAUAGUUUCAAUCCUGAUGAAAUACGUUUGGAUAUUAAGCGCAUAUGUUCCAGCCUACCCACGAGGUGGGAGACCGUGGCGGAAUCUCCGGUACCAAUCCCUUGUACCAAUCCGUCCUCUUCAAGUCCAAAGCUGGAUCUUAUAUAGUCCAGUAGUCCAUUAACAACGGCCCAUAGCUGAUGGCCGGUUACUUAAUAGUCUGGAUGUUAGAUAAUUCUAGUCUGUGGUUAAUUGUCAAACUAACCCCUGAAGGAUACAUGUUAUUUCACAGUAGACAUGGUCAUUUAUUGGCUGCAGGGUAUACAUGGUAUGUCUAUAAUAUUUGAACAGAUCGUUAUUUAAAAAUGUCCAAAGCGUACAUGAUUGUCAUUGAAUUAUUUAAUUCCUUUUUAAUAAAUUCCUAAUUAAUACUCCUUGAUAAUUAAUGAUAUGAAACACAAUUGUGUUACAAUAUGACGUGCAAACAUCAUUAUAUGAUGUGCACUUGUCAUCAUAUGAUGUGCAAAUAUCCUUACAUGAUGUGCAAACAUCAUUAUAUGAUGUGCAAACAUAGUUUUACUUAUAUGAUGCGCAUAUAUACUUAUAUGAUGUGCAAAUAUACUUAUAUGAUGUGCAAAUGUACUUAUAUGAUGUGCAAACAUUCUUAUGUGAUGUGAAAAUAUACUUAUAUUAUGUUGAAAGAUCCUUAUAUGAUGUGCAAAUAUACUCAUAUGCUGUGCAAAUAUACUUAUAUGAUGUGUGCAUAUCAUUAUAUGAUGUGCAGUUUCCCUUAUAUUACGUGCAAACAUCUUUAUAUUAUGUGGUUGUGUCAUUAUAUUAUGUGCUUGUAAUCUUAUAUUAUGUGGUUAGGUUUACUUCAUUAUAUGAUGUCGAAACGUCAUUAUAUGAUGUGCUUUCAUCGUCGUUAUGGUCAAUGAACAUGAGUACGAUUAUAAUGAUUACUGUCUACGUCAUAACUGAUUCCGAUCUGCUUCUGCGGAGUAACCGUUACUACUAAUUAGAAUCAAAUCUGUUGCUACCGUUUGGAAAAUGGUUGAGACUUGAAAUAAACCUUGGCAUGUUACAUGUAGUACCUCGUUUUAAGAUGCAAAAAAUUCACAUCUGAUAUUGUUGGAAAAUUGUAAAAAUAUAUAUGAAUUGCAAAUCUUUAUUCAUAAACAUACGGAGUCUACAAUACGGUUAAGGUUAUUGAAUUGAAUAAAUAAUUCUUUUAUGUCAUGCUUUAUGAUCGUUUUGACGAGGGAAGGCAUUAUAUUUGUCAAUUUCGGUAUACCUAGAGUUAGCAAUUUUUCUAUAAGAAGAUAAUACACGGAGUUUUGUAUUUUCAUUUAUGUAAAUAUUGCCUUUCUGAUCAUGUUAGCUGUUCGAGUUUCUCUUAAUAUAUUUAAGACACAAACAAUUGGGAAUAAAUCGGACUCUGAUAGAGUAAUGGCUCAUAUAAGGAACCGGUCAUUUGUAACCAAAAAAAAAGAGGGGAUAGGAAAAGUGGCAUUCAAUUUUAUAUAGUUAUAAAUUUGCCGCGGUAUAAUGUUAUGGCGAAUUCUUCGUCAACCGUAGGCAUCAAUCUUUACGACUCGUUUCGCUCAUCUGAAUUGUUAAAACCUGAAAAUUUAGUUUCAGCAAUUUCUUCUAGCAGAGAAUUUUUCAUCUGAUGCUAUUAUUGAAUGAAGGUGUGGUAAAUAUUAAUGAAACCACAACGGCAAUCCAAACUAAUAUAAAAAGAAGAUGUGGUAUGAUUGCCAAUGAGCCAACUAUCCACAAAAGACCAAAAUGACACAAACAUUAACAACUAUAGGUCACCGUACGGCCUUCCACAAUGAGCAAAGCCCAUACCGCAUAGUAAGCUAUAAAAGACCCCGAUAAGAAAAUGUAAAACAAUUCAAACGAGAAAACUAACGGCCUUAUUUAUGUAAAAAAAUGAACGAAAACAAAUAUGUAACACAAAAACAAACGACAACCACUGAAUUACAGGCUCCUGACUUGGGACAGGCACAUACAUAAUAAUGUGGCGGGUUAAACUGUUAGCGGGAUCCAACCCUCCCUAACCUGGGACAGUGGUAUAACAGUGCAACAUAAGAACAAACUAGUUCCCUGAAGUCGCAAAAAAUUUUCAUACUUCAGUACUUUGAUUAUAUAUGUUCUUGUCUAUACCUUGCAAGAUAAGGUUUCUUUAUUAUUAGUUAUCAAGAUAAUAGCCAAUAAAACAACAAAACUCUGAAAAGCCAAAACUACCCAAAAAGUAUCUUUACUAUAGAGUAUAUUCAGACACAUUGCACUACUUUUGUUUGUUUAAUCUAUUAUGUUUCCAGGAUAAACGCAAAAUAUUAAAAGCCGCUGCCGUAAAUCUUCACUCUAAAAAAUUCAAAACACCACUCUCUAUCUGUAAGAGAACAACAGGUCUCAGUAAAAAAUAAAUAAAUGCAGUGUUUUAAGGUGGUAUGGGUGUCUUCCUCCAUCUUGGACUGUAAAAAACAGAGAACCAAAGGUCAGAUUUUAUCAAGUUAGCAAAAUUUGAUGCAUGAAUGCAGAUAUUUAAUGUAAAUUUUCAUUUAACAGAACCAAUUUAUAAGAAAAUAACUUAUAGAUAUUAAUAUUUUUGCAAAUGUUGAUUAUUUUUGGUUGUUUUUAAAAAAAAAAUUAAAUUGCCAUUUUAAGGGGAGGUAACUCUAAAACAGUGCAUUUUCUGAAGGAUUCUACAUGGAAUUUCCUAUUGAUUUUUAGCCAGAAAAAACGUACGGUGACCCUAUCUUUUCUUUUGAUAUUCUCAAAGCAUUGUCUGAAAGCUAUCUUUUCCUUAAGUAUUUAACAAUUCUAUCAUUUUGUUUAGUUUCUAAUCAAAUGGUGUUUCCUGUAAAUCCAUACAAAAUGUGUCAUUUUGUCACGUCCUGAGCUUGAGAAAAUGCGCGUGACCUAUCAUUUUUAUUUAAUUUUUCAACAUAUAUCAAUAGAUACUACGUUUUGGCAAAGUAUGAACAAAUUCUAUCAUUUUUAUUUUAGACUCCCAUACCACCUUAAGUUCAUUUAGACACCAGUUUAAAAACGCUCAAUUCUCUGGUUUUGUUGGAUUGAUACACACCUUCAAAAAUUUGAAGGCUGAAAUGUCAUUGGCUGAUGUAAUAUAUACAAGGACAGAAAAUAAAAUGACGUGUUGUCAGAUCCUUGUAUCCAAAGCUGAAACAGAUGAUCUGUACAUUAUAUAUUAAUAAAUAAAUGUGUUAGACACCGACUCUAGUUUAAGGGAAGGAGCACGUGUAUUUUCUUUUUCGAAAUUAAAAAAAAACAUGGUUUAUUUUUUUUUUAAAGUUUCAUCAUUGUUUUAUUUUUUCCUCAUUUUAAAUAGAAACACACUAUUUCGCUUCCCUUCUGAAAUAGAUAAAAUCUCUUUCAAGAAAUUUAGAAUGCCCUCACAUAAAAAUAUCAAUGGUCGGUACGUAAGCCCUGUUUAAUUGAGUCUAGAGGUGAAUACUAGUAUAUGAGCGGCUUCCCACGAAACCUUUUAUAUUGCGGGUUACUGCAUGUCUAGUGGUGGUACUUUCGUCGUAGCAUGUUCGCCUUGAGUGAGGGAGGUCGUGGUUCGAACCCCGGCCGGGUCAAAACCAAAGACUUUAAAAUUCUUAUUUACAUUGCUUCCCAGCUAAUUAUAUAAGCGCGGGAUUAAGGAUUAAGAGCAAAAGCUGGUCGGCUCGGAAUCAGAAAAAUGUGUCCGGUAAAGGUGAUAUACAUGUCUUCCUUCGGAAUGCUUACCUUUUGAACUAACAUGUUAAAAAUCCGGCUCAGGAUGUCGGUCUAGUACAAAACAGGGUUAAUAUUCAUCCCACAUUAACAUGUUCUUGUACGAAUAUGCAUAUAUCAAUUUGCCGCUGAACCUCAAGAAUCCACCCAUAAUCAUCUAUAGUUGAAACUGUCAAAUAUAUGCACAAAAACAUGAUAAAAAGCUGCACGUUAAUGUAAUACACCGAGUUCAGGUUCAUUCCAUAUCUCCUUUAAUCCAUUUCGGGUGAAAGUGAAGGGCGCUCGGUGGUCGAUUGGUUACAUUGUCAUUUCGUGGCCUUUUAUAGCUGAAUAUGCGGUAUGGGCUAUGAUCAUUGUUGUAGGCCGUACGGUGACCUUACUUGUUAAUUUCUGUGUCAUUUUGACCUCUUGUGUGGAGAGUUGUCUCUUUAGCAGUCAUACCACUUCUUCUUUUUUAUAAGUAGUCGAACUGCUGUAUCACUAGCAUGUCAACACUUAGGUGUGCGAUUUCAAAUCCCGCACGUGGCAGGUAAGCUCGAUUCCAAUCUUAAUUGAUCAGAAUUGUAUGUUUUCCAAACGAAGGUCCGGGGGUCUCUCCGGGCAAUUCUGCUUUCUCCACCAAUAUAAACUCACCGCCACGAAAUAGCAUGAAAGUGUUGAAAGUGGCGCUAAUACAGUCAAUCAAUCAUCCAUACCGGUAUAACUUACUUAUGGCCUCUUAAUCUAUAUAUUAGCAAUGUCAAUGUAUGACAUCAGUAUACAGAGAUAAAAAUAAUAACUAUUUACAGUAUAUACAAAACAAGAGAGAGAGGUUUCAAAAUUACUAAGCCAGCUGGAGGACAAACGCACGUGUUUAUAUAUUUUUUUAUAAACGAACAAGCUGAAUUUGACAUUUUACAGAAAUCUUAUACAUCCUUCCUGUUUUCAAGUUUUCGUGCAUGGCUUAAAGCCUUAUCGGAUAAAUGUUUUUUGUCAUAUUGAAAUUUCCCGUAACAACAAUUCCCAAAUAGUUAUAUUUUUUUAUCAUCUCAAUGUUAGUAUCAUUGUAAGAAAAUCGGAGAUUUUUUGGCUUCCGUCCAAAAAAAACCUCACUAAGACUUUAAUUUUGACAACUUUCCUUUCAAGUUCCAAGCCUUACAAUAAUCAUGGAAAGCAUUGAGUUGAGUCUGCAGGUCCUGUGCUGUUUCAGCCAACAACACGUGUCAUCUGCAAACAAUAUAACAAAACACUUAAGAUAUAUUUCUAAUUCUCUUUCCAGAUCUUCUGGUAUAGUUCUGUUAAGUCAUGUAAUAUUUCUAGUCACUAAGAAAUUAUUUUAGUCAAUCAAAAGUAAAUAAAAUAGGAAAGGUGAUAAGUUUUCUUCUUGUCGAACACCAUUGUCACAAGCAAGCAAAGUAUUCCGAAUUAUGAUUACUAUCGUGUAUCAUCGGUACAGCGGAUAUAGCUUUGUAGGUACUUCGAAGCAUGAAAAACUAUAUACCGUACAUUCAUUUAACUAUGCACCGUACAGAAGGAUUCAUGUGGUCAGCUAUACACAACGCUUCUUGUCGGAAUAAAAUAUCGAAAAAUAACAUAGGUUCAAAAUAUUUCAAUGCCAAUUAUUGAAACAGCUAUACUUAUUACGCACAAACAGUGGCCUUCUAUCAGAAACAGAGUUGCAAUGAAUAUAGAAUCAUAUCGGGUGAGACGAGCGCCAACUUCUUUGACAAGUAUUUGCACAAAUUUUAGUAAGGAUUCUUGUUUUGGGCAAAUAGUGAGACUUCUCUAAUCACCAACCUACGACCAAAUCAUUUCUUAAAACAACAAAUAUGUUUAGAUUGAAGUACUGUUGCACAUUGAUAUAAUGUAAACAAAACAAAGAUUUUCGUACCGUGUCAGAAGGAAAAUCGAUCACGACCCCUUGGUUAGUACCUAUAUCCGCUGUGCCGAUGAUACAAGAAGGCGCCAGCGAGUGGGCAAGUGUUGAAACAAAGAGUGACGACACAGUUAUAAGGUGGACACAGUUAUAAGGUGGACACAGUAAUGACAAAGUUAAUGCGUUUUAUUCUAAUUUUUUUUAAAGAGACGAUAAAGAGGAACAAAAUGCAAAAGACGGGCGUCACCCCAUUCAUCUUGGAAAAUAAAAAUAUUAAAUACCCUAAAUUGGAAAAAGUGUGGCAAAGUGUGAUUUUCAGUGGGUUUUUUACCCUUUUAACUCAAUAACUGUAUCGUCUACGUAAAAUCCGUUGCCAUUACCGAAAAGGAUCAAAAUAAGUACCACAAUGGAAAAUCCGAUCUAAUCGGACGAAAAAUUAAAUCUAAAACACUUCAUCAGGAAUCAACCCUUAUAUCUCAGAAAUCGUUGACGCUACUCCAAAUCUGUUGACAUACUAGUACUAAUGUUUCAGAAUUUUAUAAGCAAUUAAAAAAAUCUCCAUUAGAAUAAGUUGAAAAUAAACAAUCUGUAUAUGCUCAUUGUUGAAGACCGUAUGGUGACCUAUAGUUAUUAGUUUCUGUGUCAUUUGGUCUGUUGUGGAGAGUUGUCUCAUUAGCAAAGAUACCACUUUUUCAUUUUUUAUAAUUACCCACAUGGCCAUUUCGCAUUUUGUGGGCACUACGUCGACUAAGCUUGCAGUCUUCGAAAUUGGGUAUUUUCUCACAUAAUUGGCGUUUUCUGUGGAAAAAAAGAUUGGUUCAAUGACAAUUAAAAGUAAAAAACCUAUCACGUCACAUAUUUCCGACUUUGUAUGGUUUUAGAGGAGUUGCGGCUCAAUGAAAUCGGUCUACUCCUUUAGUGGCAUAGAUUAUAUGAUAUACUAGAUUUAAUAUCAUUGUACAUAUUCAAUACUACAUUAUACAUCUUACCAUUUACAGAUUAAUAUUAUUCAAUAACAUUUUAAUAAAACAAACCAUCUCGCCAUAGUAUGCAUCAGUAGAUAAUUUUAUAGCUAUUGUUAUGAAAUAUCUUUUGAAACAGACUGUGAUUUCAAUGGUGUCUUUUGCAAUGAUAGAAAUAAGCAGAAUUGUGGUAUGAGAGCCACUGAGACAACUCUCCAUCCAAGUCAUAAUUUGUGAAGAGGAAACAAUUAUAGGUCAUAGUACGACCUUCAACACGGAACCUAUGCUUAAACCGAAUAGCAAGUUAUAAAAGGCUCUUAAAUUUGUUAUCAUUUUCUCCACAGGCGGAGAUUUCUUCAACUAGCUCCUGUAUUAACUGAUUUUAAUCUUCAACCGAAAUGUUGAAACGUUGAUUUUGUUAAAUUGCUUUGUCUCAUUCUCCCUAUAAAUUGCACUUUCGCUAGCGAUAGACACAUAUUUGAGCCGGGUUAAAUAGUUUACAGAAGCAGAUCGGAAUCAUUAUGACGUAGACAGUAAUCAUUCUAAUCGUAAUCAUGUUCAUUGACCAUAACGACGAUGAAAGCACAUCAUAUAAUGACGUUUCGACAUCAUAUAAUGAAGUAAACCUAACCACAUAAUAUAAGAUUACAAGCACAUAAUAUAAUGACACAACCACAUCAUAUAAAGAUGUUUGCACGUAAUAUAAAGGAAACUGCACAUCAUAUAAGGAUAUGUACACACCAUAUAAGGAUCUUUGCACAUCAUAUAAGUAUAUUUGCACAUCAUAUAAGGAUCUUUGCACAUAAUAUAAGUACAUUUGCACAUCAUGUAAUAAUGUUUGCACAUCAUAUAAGAAUGUUUGCACAUCAUAUAAGAAUGUUUGCACAUCAUAUAAGUAUAUUUGCACAUCAUAUAAGUAUAUUUGCACAUUAUAUGAGUAUAUAUGCACAUCAUAUAAGUAUGUUUGCACAUACUAUAAUGAUGUUUGCACAUCAUAUAAGGAUAUUUGCACAUCAUAUAAGGAUAUUUGCACAUCAUAUAAAGGUGUUUGCACAUCAUAUAAUGACAAGUGCACAUCAUAUAAAGGUAAAAGCACAGCAUAUAAAGGUAAAUGCACAUCAUAUAAGGUAAAUGCACAUCAUAUUAUGAAAAUGGUCAUAACAAGACAGUGUUGGCGUUCCAUAGUCGUCAUCUAUGUGUUUAAUGCUGUUCAUAUCUGAAAAUGUCUCAUUAAUUUGUUUGCUUAUUUCUUUUGCAGGAUCACAUUCUAACUUUUUUGUAAAAUUUGAUGUUCGAAAGCUGACGAUUCCUAUCUUUAAUGUAGUCAGUUUUGUCUAUCACAAACACUGCACUUCCUUUGUCUGCUUGUUUAAUGACAAUAUCAUCACGGCUUUUUAAAUGGUUAAUGGCCUUGCUUUCUUGCUCUGAGAGAUUCCGUAUAUGUAUGCCACUGACGGAUGAUUUACUGCAGAUUUGAUAUGAUAUAAAGGAUUCUAGAUUAUCGUUUUUACUUCUUGGUGGAUUCCAUUCACGUUUGUUUUUAAAUCUGGGGAUGCAAUCGUUCAUUCCGGCUUCAACUAGUGCUCGGAAACAACAAUUUUGUAUUCAACGACAAGCCCUACUUGCAGAUUGAAGGUACCAGUAUGGGAACCAAAAUGACAACUUCCUUUGCCAGCAUUUUCAUGGAGAGUCUCGAAGAACGUAUCCUUUUUAGUGUACCAUACAAACCUUUCUCUUUGCUCCGUUAUAUUGAUGACAUCAACAAAACUGCAGAACGUCUGCAAUGAUUUCUUGAUUUCUGUAACAACUGUCAUCAAUCUAUAAAAGUCACAUCUGAAGUUUCAAAUUAGAAAAUUGCGUUUCUCGACACCACCAUAACUUUAGAAAAUGGAGUCAUGACAAUCGACCUUCACAACAAAAAAAACCUGAUAAACAUCAAUUUCUCUCUCCGAAGAGUAGUCACCCAAAACGCUGUUCCCGGUGCAUCCCGUACAGCCAAGCCAUCGGGUUAAAACGGAUUUGUUCAUCGGAAUCAGACGGCCCAGACAAAUAAAAUUCCAUUUGUUGUCAGCUUUCAUCCUGACCUCACAGAUCUUUCAUCAAUUGUCCACAAGCACUGGCGUCUUAUUGAAAAUGACCCUUUCUUAUAAGAGAUUUUUCCAUCACCUCCCGUCAUGGCUUACCGUAGACCCAAAAACCUCAAAGAUAUUCUAGUAACAUCCAAAUUAUCCAAAAAGGAGAUAUCGACAAUAUAUGGACCAUGCGGAAGAUGCAAUUGUAAGUACAGCAAAGUCGCCAACAUCGAAACCCAAUUCGUCAGCACAGUCACACAGAAAAAAUACAACAUGUUUAUAACAUCAAAUUGAAAACGGAAAAUUGUAAUUAUGUUCUAACGUGUGGAACUUGCAAGUUGCAAUAUUUUGGUGAAACAGAAACAUCAUUUAACAUCCGACUAAAUAACCAUCGGUCAUUUUAUACAAAAUAAAAAACUGCCCAAUCACAAAUGAAAGCAACAGUAGUAUACAGCUGUUCAAAACUCAUAAAUCGAUAGAGAAAAAACAAUUCCGGGUUACAAACUAAAACUGAGGGAAACGUAUCAAAUAUAAUUAGAACUACUACACAACACCGAAAUGUAACACACACCAAACGAACUAUAAUGUAACAAUGGCCAUUUUUCCUUACAUGGUACAGGGUAUUUUAUGAAAAAAUGGUGGGUUGAAGCUGUUUUUGUGCAUGCCAAACCACCCGCUUUAUUGUCAGUUUAAUUAUAACAUUAAAUAUGACAACAUUACACGACAGGGCUACAAUAAAUAAAUGGGAGAAAAUAUAGGAUAGAGAAACAAACGAAUAACAGCCAUAAAAAGGUAACAGUUUAAAAAAAUAUUUUAUACGACAGAUGCGCGCUACGUCCACACAAAACUAUGCUCAGAUGAAAAAAGUUUAAAAGCCAUAACAACUACAAAGGUUGAAGAUCGUCGAGGAACAAAAUUCCAAUAAGUUGUAAGGCCAGGGAUAUCCGCCUGGGACAAAAAACAUCAUUAUUAUCAAGAAUAAUCAAUAGUUUUGCAACAGUAAAUUUUUAUAAAAUGACUAUAUAAUUAGAUAUAGUAUAUUUAACUAUUAAAAGUGGUGACUAGCUAUAGAAUUAAAAACGAAAAACAUUACAAAAUCACAGCCGGUGUUAGCACAUAGUCAUUUGCAACGCCCCCGAGUGACGUCACAUUUAAAUUUCUAAAACGUGUUCCGAAAUUGAGAAGAAUUUGGAAGAAAUUUCAAGAUAAGAUUUGAUAUGACUUAUCUAACUUAUAUUUAUUACAAGUCAUCUCUUAAGAGCAAGGCAUGAUUUUGAAAACGUCACGUUUCAAAUCAUUGAGAGAAAUCAAAAUUUAGAUACACAAGGAAGACAAAAAAGAGAGGGAUUUUGGAUGCACUAGUUAGGGGAUGACCAUUUGAUAUUCUGGGGGGGGGGGGGGCAGGAGGAUUUGUUUUUGAUCGGUAUUUAUUUUCGUAAACUAAGAGACAGAUUAUUCAUUUUCUGCACUAUUGAAGCAAGAUUUUUCAUUUUCAUUAAGCAAGGACUGAUUAUUCAUUUUUUCAACUAUAUUUAUGAUAUUCGAAAACACAAUUUUUAAACGAUUGUUUAUUAUAAAUAAACAUGUAUAGUCAAGUCAUUAUGUAGCAUUUAAUCAGAAUUAAUUCAUCAUCCUCUGCAGAAAAUGAAUCUUUUUAUAUUCCUAAACUGCAUAUAUAUGUAUUGCAUUACAUACAAGUAUUAAAGUUUGUUUAACUAGCCCCUUUUAAAAGUAUUGGCAAACAUUAUUUCGCCGAGCGGAGCGAGGCAAAUUAUUUUUUAAAAGGUUUUGGAGCUACUGAAAGGCCCAAAAAACUAUAGAACAUUAAAUGAUGCAAAAUCAUGCUUUUCUGGUGUUCAAAGACCCUUUUAUAAUCUGAAAAUGCAAGUUUUGUUUUAAUAAUGUUUGACAAUAUUUGGUCUCAAAGCAAAAUGCAAUAAAUUCAGUGUAAGACUUAAGUUUCUAGGAAACAUCAAAAGACCAAUGUUGAUGAUAAAGCAAAAAUGGAAUUUACAUAGUUAGUCUGUGGCUGCUGUUUUUUUUUAAACUCAAUGAUCAAGUUCAUAACAAAACUAACUAGGAUGACAAAAAGGAAUGCAACACUAACAGAAUACAGAAGGGCAAUCAAUGAACAAAAAGACAAUAAAUAAGAAACAUGAUACCGAAAAAUUCAGGGCUACGUCUGAGAUAAAACAGAACUUGCUUCUUGCAAGGCACUCGCCGUUGAACACAAUUUGAUAUGAAGACAAGCGUUUGGUUUGAAAUUUCCUACUGAGCAUUUGCCCCAAUGUAGUUACGGCCCUGUUAAAAUAAAAGUGAGUAAGGUUCCUGAGACAAUAUACAUCAAGUUAAAUGAAACAAUUUCAGACAUUUCAAGUAUAUUUGAAUAAUAUUUAUACUUUUAUAUAAAAAAAUGGGAAGAGUUUCCCCGAUUUUUUUGGGAAAAAGAUGAAUUUAUGAAGAAUCUGGUGCCAUCUCAACUUUUGAUAAGACCUGCUGAGUUAUUUAUUUUCAAUAUAUUGCAAGUUAGGUAAUUUAUUUACAAGCUACCACAGAAAAACCAUUUAUUUUUAUGAUUAUCAAGGCCCAAGUUCAUCUAUUUCAAAAUCCUCCUGCCCCCCCCCACCCCCAAAUAUCAAAUGGUGUCCCUUACGAACGCUUGAACUGAUGGACUCAAUGAGAGAAACGAAAAAAAAGAUUUAAAACCAAAGGCUAAAUAACAAUCUUGAAAGUCAUACAAAUUAUUUAUAGAAAUUCAUCAAUUUAUUCGAACAUCAAUAAAAUAUAUUAAACUUUUACACCUAUUUUAUGUUUUUUUUUACAACAUCAAUACUUUUGUUAAACAUGUACUAAAAUUCUGUGUAGUUAAAGCUAAGAAAAUAUAAUUUGUCAUGCAUCCGAUUUCCCUUGAGAGAUGCACACGCCUGAUGAAGCUAAUUUGAUUAGCGAAAUAUGGCGUAUUUCUAUUUAAAAUCUAAUAGAACUUUUAAUGUAUUAAUUAGCGUGUUUCAGUUAUAUCUUAGACAUUAUAUAUAUAUAUAUAUAUAUAAUAUAUAUAUAUAUAUAUACAACUCGUCUAAACAUCAACCCAACAAUGUUAGAUCUGUAAAUUUCUUCGCAAAUUUUUGUUCUUCCCUCGACGGGAUUCGACCCAUGCUACUGUGAUAUCGUGACACCAAAAUCGCCUGCAUGCAGCCGUCCGCUAGACCACAAACGACACCUGGGCUCUCAAAAAAAGAGCUUUCGCUGGCAUGUGUUACAUUACUUUACUAGUUACAUGUGAUAAUGAAACGCCAUACUAAUAUUCCAAAAUUGUACACAAGAAACUAAAAUUAAAAUAAACCAAGACAAUCUCUCCNNNNNNNNNNNNNNNNNNNNNNNNNUAUCUUUUUUAAAGAUAGUUCUUGUUUAAUAUGCACUGCAGCACAAAGACCAAGGUAGGCGACUCGGGUUAUUUAUAGCUUUAAGUUUGUUUAAUAAAAUCACACAGCUCGGAUACUUAAAACCUGAAAUUUUGAAAAUUCAAAAGAGGGGAUAACUCAAUAGAUACACACAAUCCACUGAAGUUUCAUGUAAUUUGGUUGCUGCGUUUUUUAGUUAUUAUUCGACAUGCUGACGACGUAAAACGGACGGACAACGGUUUACCAUAAUACGUCUCGUAUAAAACUGCGGGGUUCACCUCGAAAAAAAACCCAAUUAUCUGUGACAACAAAAACACCAUAUAAUGAUGUUGAUAAGAUUAUGAGUCCCCUGCACUAUAUAUGUUAGAAGGUCCUUUGGAUAAAGAAUCCAAUAUUUUCCUAUUUAAUACUGGAAAGUUGUGAUAGAUAUUCUUAUGAGCAGAAAAUUGAAAUUAAGCGAAAAGUGUAAAUUUUGAUCAACGUAGUAAUUGGUUUUGGUGAUUUAUUGAAAAUAUAGGAUAUUAUAAGAAAAAAAGAAUUCUUGACUUUAAAAAUGUUUCUAGUCUAUAAAUGAAAAUUUAAUGAAUAAAAAUAUCAUUUAAAAUUAUAAACUAGAAAAGUAAUUUUUAAAAAUCAAGAAUUACCUUGUUUCUUAUCUAAAAUUUUGUCAAAAUAACUAGACCAUUUUUUCAGAACUCGGACGGCUUCACAGUUCCUCUCGAAAAAAAACCCGGACAAUAACAAACACUGAAUUUAAUUGUCAAAUACAAUGCAAUUGUGCUUCUUUGUUACUCAAAACAUGUCUAGUAUUCAAAUUAAGAUGGGUAGUCAUAAUAAAAGACUAUUUUAAUUGCGAAUUAACAGUAAAUUGAUUUGAUUGCAUAGUUUAUUACUCGAAAAAGCCCGAUCUACACUCGCAAAAAUGGACAGAUUCACUGAAAAAACUACGAUCCUAGCUGCACACUAUACCUACCGUGUUCAUAACAUAUAUGAGAAGAACAUAACCCGUGUCAUGCCAACAACUGUUUUUGAAUAAAUGUGUUCAGUUAUGAUGCAAAGACCCUAUAAGUGAAUCAAUAUUAACGCCAAAAUAUGCAAUCUUUAAUGACCUGACAACAGUAUCGUAACUAUAUCCCUUCUUAAUAAGUCUAUUUAAAGGUUUUGUUAGUUUCUGCGGUGAAUACUGACAUUUUUGUGCUUUAUAAAGAAUAUUUCCAUAAAAAAAUGGAUGUGAAAUACCUCAACGUAUAAGUAUUCUGCAUGUUUAAGCUAGUAUAUUUACGAAUGAUGUCCGUAUACAUCAUAAAGCAAUAGGAACUGACGUUUUAAACUAAAUUGUGAUGUUUUCCUUUCAAAAUUUAUUUUUAGUAUUGGAAAUACCCUAAUUGUUUCUCUUAACAAUUGUUUUUUAAUUAUUAUGUUUUCUUCCGCCCAUUUUUUUUGGAAUAUGUUAUUGUAUAGUUUACAGGCAGAUGAGGGUGAAACAAACAUUUUUUCUCAAGGUCAAAACAAAUGAUUUUUCUCUCCAAAAACUGGAUGCAAAUUUUUUUCCCCAAAAAAAAUCCAUACCCUCCCCAAAAUCAAAUGGUUGCUGCCUUAUAGGUUGUUGUUCCUACUUUACUGUCCCAUCUGGUUGCUCGUACAUUUUCUGUUAAUUAUAAAAGAAAAAAAGCCAACAUAUUCAACGCAUCACUAAAUAAUCCUAAUUUAAGGGGGUAGACCUGGUAUAUAGGAGACAACUCUCACACAUGUACUGAAAGUCAUUAGUGCGUUUUGACAUAGCUGUAAAUUAAACAGUGAUCAAGCAUUUAUGUUGUUUACAUUACGCUGUGAGAAUGAUGCAGACAGAUCCAGAAAAUAGUUUUCAAAGGUACCAGGAUUAUAAUUAGUACACCAGACGCACGUUUCGUCUACAUAAGACAGAUCAGUGACGCUCAAAUCAAAAUAUUUAUCAGGCCAAACAAGUACAAAGUUGAAAAGCAUUUAUGAUCCAAAAUUUCAAAAAGUUGGGCCAAAUACGGCUAAGGUAAUUUAUGCCUGGAAUAAUGAAAUCCUUAGUUUUUCGAAAAAGUCAAAGAUUUGUAAACAGAAAAUUUAUAAAAAAUGACCACAUUAUUGAUAUUCAUGUCAACACCGAAAUGUUGACUACUGGGCUGGUGAUAUCCUCGGGGACGAAACGUCCACCAGCAGUGGCAUCGACCCAGUGGUGUAAAUAGUUAUCAAAAGUACCAGGAUUAUAAUUUAGUACGCCAGACGCGCGUUUCGUAUACAUAAGACUCAUAAGUAACGCUCAAAUCCAAAUAUUUAUAAAGCCAAACAAGCACAAAACUGAAGAGCAUUGAUGGCCCAAAUACCAAAAGUUGGGCCAAAUACGGCUAAGGAAAUCUAUGCCUGGGAUAAGAAAAUCCUUAGUUUUUCGAAAAAGUCAAAGUUUUUUAAACAGGAAAAUGUACAUGUUUGACAUCACCAAACAAUAACCUAAAGAACAUUUUUUUUAAAUGAUGUGGAUGAAAAGGAAGAAAAUUACUUUUCGUUAAUAAAAUGCUUAAAAAAGAACCAAUGAACUGACUCUCAGGUUUUCUGGAGCAACUAUACUGAUGUUAGUAUCUUGUGGCAUCAUAUUGAAAAAAAUUUUGGAAGUAUUGGUAAAUUCGAUUUAAACAUAUGAAUAAAAUAAUGAAGUAAUAUGGUUUUUAAUCGUGCUAAAUCGUUGAUACAGAGUUUGUACUUACUGUUUGUUUUGUGUGUGUUUUGUUAACAAUACAAAAGGCAUUAUUCUAGAAAACCUGAUCUGAACAUCAAUCCUAGUACAAGCAUAUGCUAAUAGAUUAUCUACCUUAGAUAGAGUCAUACUGUCAAAACAGUGAUGACAGCGUCUGACAGGGGCAUUUUGUUGUCUGGGGAGAGAAACCAAUAAGUAGUUGUGAUAAGAAUUAUGUCAACUCAUCUCAAGAAUACUCGUCCCAUACUGAAGAUUACUGUUUUUCCUUAUACAAUUAAUUACAAUUAUUAAUGGGACAGAACUUCUUUGAAUAUUACACAUUAAAAAAGUUCUAGAACAGUCUGUACGAUUUUUUGUAAGGGAAAAAAUGAAUUUUGUCCAAAAUUUCUAUUUUUGUGUGUUCCUUGUUAGCCAACUUGUUGAAAAGUUUGAAAAUUUCAAACGGUAAAAAUCGAUAUAGUUGUGUGAUUUUAAGGAUUAAUAACCAAAAAAUGUUCAUUCAUUUUUUUGCAGGAAUAAAACGACAAAAUUUAUUCUGGCUAAAAUUGAGACAAAAAAUGUGUUAUCUUAGCUGGUUAGACUUUUCGACAUAUCAAUUAUUAAAAACUGGGUUUGUUUUUACAUUCAGGCUACUUGUAUUACCAUGAUGUUUCAGAUUUACUUGAAGAUUUUAAGACAUGCUUCUUCUAUGCAAUUUAAGUCGGGGAUAUUUCUAAUAACAACAUGUACAGAAUCACUCAAUGAUUUUUACCUGCUAAAGUUUUUUUACCGUUUUCUAAGGUACCCUAAAACUGGUCAUAUUCAAUAAACCCUACACAUGAAAUGAAACGGUGAAUUUCCUCAAGACUUUGUCAGAUGAUGCAUGGACCCCUAUCAUUUCUAUGAUGUUAAUAUUAGAAAAAUUAAAUGAGAGGAAAUGUUUGGUAUAACCAAGGCCUACCCCCUUAAACCAAAUAAAGAAACAAUAAUGAAGUAUUUCCUCAAAAAAUAUAUUACCCCACAACCGCAAAUGUCCAUCUUUUUAGGUCGCAUGUAGAUUUAUUUUGUGUUGUUGAGUUACUGCCGUAUUGACGUAUAUCCAAUAGCCUCAUUUUUUUAAAAUAAGAAAGUCAACACACUAUAGUUAAUAUGGACGUUACGACAUACGUUCAUUGUUUUGAACAGAAUAUAAAAAUAAAUGAACCACUGAAACCAUUGCAAUCGCUUACGUAAAUAGAACUACGUACACUAUAACCUUAUGAAAUAUUUAAGAAACAUAACCAUCUCCUGUCAAUCAUUUCAAUACUUUAUGCUAUAACAUAUUUUAUUUUAAAGGUACUCCACAAUUAUUUUUUUGUAAAGAUGUGUUUCGAAUAAAAUAUAACUAUGUAUAUAAAAUUACUAAAAAGAGAUGUUAAUUCUGUCAAUUCCCGUUUUCUAUUUCAAUUCCGUAUUCCGUUCCGUCUUUCGUUUUCAGCCUUUUAGCAACACCCCUAGUAACGAGUGAUAUUGCCAACGCUUGUCGCCAACGUCGCCUGGAAUCGUAUAUAUAUAUAACUAAAUGUUCCAAGGAGCCUGUGUUGUUUUACAUUAUAUUUUUAUUUACAAUUGAUGCAUGAAAUAAUGCCAUCGUUAUACUUUUUCUUUAGUUUCAGAGAUACAAGUCAAAACUUUAUUUCCCUCCUAUGUUAUAUUUUUAGCCAUGUUGGCCAUGUUGGUUGGCAGACAUGGUCAUCAGAUACAUUUAAAAAAAAACUAAAUACCUAAAUGCUUAAUUGUGGCCAAGUUUGGUAAAAUUGUCUCAGUAGUUUAGGAGAACACUUUUGUAAAAUAUUACAAAAAUUUACGAAAAAUGGUUAAAUUUGACUUUAAAGGGCAAUAACUCCUUAUGGGGUCAAUUUACCAUUUUGGUCAUGCUGACUUAUUCGUAAACCUUACUUUGCUGAUGUUAAUUGUAGUGUACAAAUUAUCACCAUCUUUAAUAAUAUUCAAAAUAAAAACCAAAAACAACAAAAUUUCCUUAAAACCACUAAUUCAGGUAUAGCAACCUCACAACAAUUUGUCUAAUUGGUCUGAAAAAUUCAGAACAAAUAUAUCUUAACCUAAUGAAUAUUUUUAACUUGUCAAAUUUACUCUAAAUGCUUUAGUUUAAGAGGUAUGUAUAUAAGCCAAAAACUGCAUUUCACCCUAUGUUCUAUUUUAGCUAUGUCGGCCAUGUUGGUUGGCAGGUGGGUUCAUCGAACACAAUUUUUAAACUAGAUACCCUAAAUAUGAUUGUGACCUUAGUAGUUUCAGGGGAAAAGAUUUUUGUAAGAUUACAAAAACUUACCAAAAAUUAUUAAAAAUUUACUAUAAAGGAAAAAAAUUACAAAAAUACUGAAAUCCGAGGAAAAUUCAAUCGGAAAGUUCCUAAUCACAUGGCAAAAUCAAAUGACAAAACACAUCAACCGAAUGGACAACAACUGUCAAAUUAAUGACUUGGUUUAGGUAUUUACAAAUUUGGAAAAUGGUGGAUUGAACCUGGUUUUUGACGCUAAACUUCAUUAUUUUGCAACAGUCUCACCAAUUUCGUUAUAUUUACAACGAUGUGUUAACCUAAAGGGGUGAAUUUACCAUUUUGGUCAGGUUGACUUUUUGCAGACCUUUCUUUGCUGAGCAUUAUUGCUGUGUACAGUUUAUCACUAUCUUUAAUAAUAUUCAAGAUGAUUACCAGACACUGAAAAAUGCCCUUAAAAUUACUAUAUCAGAGGCCAAAUGGUCAAUUGACCCCAUAAGGAGUUAUUUCCCUUUAAAGUCAAAUUUAAUCAUUUAUCGUAAAUUUUUGUAAUCUUUAACAAAAGUUUCCGCCUGAAAUAAUUGAAACAAAUUUAACCAAACCGGCACUGUUAUUUCAACGGUUAUAUCCUAUUCCCGAUUAUUUUAUUUAUUGAUUGAUUGAUUGUAUUUUAACGCUUCCUUCGCAGCUCUUACCUAUAUCGUAGCUGCAGUAUUCAUGCUUGGGGGAAACCUGAUGCCAAAAAUGCCAACCAAAGUUUGGCAGAACAAUUGUUUAGAAAUUUGAAUGAUUUAUACACUGGCUAAGAGUGGAAACCAAAAAAUUAACUCGUUCUAUAAGUUAAGAUUUAAAUAGAACACGAUAUUUUUGUACCAGUAAUAACCCAACACCAAGGCAUGUGUCCCAUUGACUAACACCUACAGUAAUAGUAUAUAUUGGAACACACGAAUGAUUCAAAAAAAUAUUUCGUUUUGAAAGGUACGAUAACACGAAUGAAGAUAAGAUUUUUCUGUUCAAAGGUGAAUUAUUAUUUAACAAAUCAUAUACAGUGUCCGCAACUUGUAAUGUAAGAUAUUUCUACAGUACAUUUGUACUCCGUUACACUCUUUUUAUCUAUCGACAUAAAUACUUGCUUUCAUGAUCUAACAGCCUGUUGCGCUAAGAUGAUUCAUUUACCAAAUUACUUUUUAAUUAAAUGUUGAUUUGUUACUUGUGCCGGAAUGAAAUGGUUGUUUUUGAGACAAUCACACAAUAGUUAGACUAUUUAAACAUAACACAUGUUUUCUUUCUUUUUCUUCCACUUCAAGUUUAGCCAUAUUAACGUCAACAUUGUAGAUUUCAAUUAAAAUAUUUGAUAUUUAGUCAAAUAUAUCAAAUAGCUAAAGAUUCUACGAAGCCAUUUAAGGCCAUGCUUAUUCAAUUUAUUCCGAUUUCAUACAACAGAUUUUUAAUUUGAUAUAACAGAUAAAUAAUUUGAUAUAACAGAUUAUCAAUUUGAUAUAACAGAUUAUCAAUUGAUAUAACAAAUUAUAAGAAAUAGAAAAAACUAUUUAUAAAUUUGAUAUAACAAAAAUGUAAAUUUGAUAUAAAAUAAAAUAUAUUUGAUAAAACAAAAUGUAAAUUUGAUAUUACAAAAUGUAAAUUUGAUUUUACAAAAUAUAAAUUUCAUGAUAUACAAUUACUGUCUUUUGAUGAGGUUUUAGUAAAGUUUGAAAAAAAACCUGAUAUUCACUGAGGUCAAUUAAACCACAUAUUUACUAAAACAAAAGACAGUAAUUGUUUUAUUCCAUAUCUAAAGAAAAAACAAUGUAUUUAAUGAAAAAUAUUUAUUUAAACCAAUUGUACAUCGCACAUUUUACCAUAUUGAUACAUGUAAAAGCGCGUGACGUUUCGCACGAUGAAGAACACUUUUCUCCAGGUGAAUAUGCAUUUGUAUUUUUAAAAUCUAAUUCAUAUAGAGAAACCUACUUAAAUAAUUCUUAUAUGGACAAAACCAAAUUAUGAUAAUUUGAAAUAACUAUUUAUUAAUUUUAUAUGACAAAACAUAAAUUUUAUAUGACAAUUUACUAAUGAAUAGAUUGUAGUUUCCACGAUUCGCUAUUUUAGUGAAGUGAAACAAACUAAAAAUUAUAAGUGAUAGAGUACGGAAGCCUAUUUAGGACCUCCCAAAAUGUAUAAUUUGAAUUCGAAAUCACGACUUCAAAUCGUUAUCAUAAAUUGUAUAAUUCGCUAUAACGGACUUAAUUUGUGAUAACGAACUGGUUGAAAUCUUUAUUACAUAUUUUGUAUUUCGCUAUUACAAAUACAAUUCUUAAUUACAAUUGUUUUGUAAUUUGUGAUAACGAAUUAAAAUAGUUAUAACGAAUUGUAUAAUUGGUUUCAAUUGAUUAAACUCGUGUUAACGAAUUUUAAGAAUUUUGAUAAAUUCGUUAUGAUUGUCUUAUUUUAAUUUGUGAUUUCGGAUUAAACAUUAAUUAUCACAGAUUUUUAGGUCACUUGGGCCACAGGAUAACUAGUUUAUGAGUGUUUCUCCUCACUUUACGUCGGUCGCUGCUCAUUAAUUUUACUAAAAUCUUCUUCGCUAGAACCUUUUCGCCAUGAUGAAUCUAGCUUGACCACAAAUUAUUGGACAUACAGUGAAACAAUAUUUUAGUGACUUUUUAAUGUACAAAUAUAAACAAAAAAAGACUACACUCAGAGGUUUUUGUCCUGUAAACGGUUGGGCUAACUCAUAAAAAGAUACAUAAGUACAUCAGCCAGCGAUCCAGUUUACUACACACAAAAAACUCUUUGGAUAAAAAAUGUGUCUAAUCAACAUACUUCUUGGCCGAUAUAAUUAAAUGACUUACUUUUCAUUGAAAGUCUGUUUAUAGCGUUGAAAAUUGAAAAUCAUUACUGUGUUUCGCCCCUGUAUACAUUUUACACAGAGGUACGAAAGUAGUUUAGCCAAAAUGGUUUAUCGAAGUCUAAAACCUGGGAACGAAAAUCUAAAAUACCAAUCACAUUCAAGUAUUUGCUGAUAUGUUAAUAAUACUUAAUAGCUAUUAAAAUAUUAACAAUAAUAGGAGUACAUUUACACGUUAUUUAUAAAACAAAAGUAUAAAAUGUAAAGAGGGGAAAAGAGAACAGAAGUGCACAGAAGAUAAGGCUAUCCUGUAAUUAAGUUCUGUGAAGAAUAUGUGCAAUGAAAACAUGACCGACAUGGCGUUGUUACAUUCCACACAGGGGUAAAACGCAAGUCUUUUUUUUUUUAUUCUGCUAACCGCAAUAUACACAUAGUUGAUAAUUAGCAUCAGAAGAUCUACGUACCGUCUAUUUACAUCAAAUGUGUACAAUGUAAUUUUCUUUUCUUUGAUUUUUUUUUUUCAUUUUUUGUUUUGGCUAUUAUUGUGAAAAUUAUUACAGAAAGGGAGAAUUUUUCAAUCAAUUAUGAAAGCAAAGAUCUACAAAUAAUUCCAUAUGAUCGAAAGCGACAAUUGACUCUUUUUCUCCUUUUGUUAUUGUUUUGCAUGUUUGCCAUGUUGUUUCGCAGGCGGGCUCAUUGCAUACAUUCUGUAGAGUAGAUACCCUAACUUUUUUCUCUCUAUUUACUACACUUUCCUGAUAACCUUAUUUUCUUUUGCACAUUAUAUUCUAUGAUCUUCUCCUUUGUAUAUGUUGUUUGUUUUUCGAGUUAAACAUGUAUAUGCACUUCUAUUAUGUUUCGAACAACAUUGCAAAACAUCAAACGUAUUGGUAAAAACGGUCAAUUGUCGCGUUCAAUCUUAUGGAAUUAUUGGUAGAACAUUGCUAUCUCAGUGAUCAGUUUCGCUAUACUAAUUGACUGAAGAUUCUCUCUAUCUAUAAUAAUUGGCAAAAUAAUAGACAUACAAAUGUCACACAAAAUGAAAAAAAAAAACGUCAAUAAAGGAAAAUUAUUCUUACAAAUAAUCAUUUUACAAUUUUGAUAUAAAAAGACAGUACGUAAAUAUUGUGAUUCUAAACAAUUCUUUAUCUUAAGGGGUUUCAAGGUAAACUAACAUAAACUUGCAUUAUAACCUUGUGUGUUUUUUUUGCGCCAUGUCGUCCAUGUUUAUACACAGGCGGGUUCAUUGCACAUACUCUUCAAACAUGAUUUUUCUCUCUCUCAUUAUACCUCUUUCCAAGAAUAACCUCAGCUUCUUGUGCACUCGUAUUUUUUUCAUCCUCUUUAUAUUUUAUAUUAUGUUUUAAAUUACAUGAACUUCUUUUAUCUUCAUUAUAAAAAAUCUUUUAUAUAAUUAAGAUAUUAGCAAAUAUUUGAAUAUGAUUGGUCUGUUAGAUUUUCAUUCCUAUGUUUAUACUUCAAUGAACCAUGCUGGUAAAACUAGUUAUGUUGCCUCUGAAUAAAUUGUUCCCAUGCGCAACGCAUCAACAAAUUAUAAUUAAACCAACUAUACAAUGUGUUAUAUUAAAUUAUCAAAUUCGUGAUAACGAUUUAAAUUCGUUAUCACGAAUAUGAUCCGUUAUAACCAACUAUACAAUCCGUUAUAACGAUUUUAAUUUGAUUCCCACCAAAUCGUUGUCACAAAUUUAAUCUGUUAUAUUGAAUUAUCAAAUUCGUGAUAACGAUUUGAUUUCGUUAUCACGAAUAUGACUUUUUAACCAACUAUACAAUUCGUUUUAACGAUUUUUAUUUGAUUUCCAAUAAAUUGUUGUCACAAAUUUAAUCUGUUGAAUUAUCAAAUUCGUGAUAACCAUUUAAAUUCGUAAUUUCGGGAUGUUUUUUGGAAGUCCUAAAUGGGCUUUCGUAUUUUUGAAAGCAGUUGUAGUUUUUAUCCGUUGCUUUUACGACAUAACAUUUAAUUAUCUUGACUAUGUUUAAAUACAUAUGAAUCCCCAAAUCAGAUUGUUGCACACUUAAGUGAUUCCUUAUGUGUACUGUCAUAUCAGUGCAUAUUUAAAAUGUGAAAAUCGUCAAAUAUUCUUGCCUUUUUAUGUUAUUUUGUAUGACAUUUGCAGCUCAUUUUAAAAUGACUUAGUACAGGCGUUUUUUCAUGUAAAAAAUGGUGAAUUCAAGAUGUAAACGCUAAUAAGGCUAAUGAUACAUUAAAAGAAAGAAAUAUAUAAUGACGGAAAGAAAACGCAUUAGUAAAGUUAUAUCUGUGACACAGGUAACUCAGGUCUUUGUCAAAAUAAAAGAUUGAAUUUCGAAUGAGGUCUGGGUUGUCAUACUGGAUAUUUACUUUAGUGUUAAGGUAAGUGUCUUUUUUAUAAUCAGUAUAAACGUUGUGUAGAUCUGAGAAAAUACUUGAUUAUUUACAAUCUAGAAUUUCUUUGAUCAACAGUUUGACAAAGUUGAAUUGUUAUUUUUAGUUUAUCAUCAUGCAUCUCAAUAAAUCUUGAUUGAUAAUGAAUAAUAUUACGUCUUUUAAAUUAUAAUCCUGGUACCUUUGCUAAUUUAUUAAGUAUAAUUUGCCCCGAUUAAGUACCGAGUAAGCUUUUCUCAUUACUUGGAGUCCGUCAUCAGUCGUCGUCCGUUUUCGUCGUCGUCCGUUUUCGUCGUCAGAUAACUUUUACAAAAAAAAUUUCCACUCCAAAUUUGACUUAACAUAUGGUAAAAUAUGGGGUACUUUCAUUAUUUGCAUAGCGGUCAGUUUGCCUAAUCAUAACGAAAGCCAUUGCAAUAAUAUUAUACAUGCCCCUUGAAUAUAAAUGCCAAUAUGCCAAUUCUUAGGUCGUAUGGACAGUUUGUCUGCAUAUAGUUGAAUUGCACAUACUUUUUGCGUUGGUUCGUGUACAAAUGAACAUUGAAAACUUUUGUUCUUUUCAGAUCGGAAGCGUACCUAUAGCGUAAUUUUUACUAGUAUAUAAAAUAACCAUAAAUCGUAUAGAACCAAGAUUAAAUUUUCCCGAAAUGUGUGUUACUGGAAGAUUGAUACGUGUUCGUUCAUUUGGGAAGACAAUAAUCAUACAUAUUGUUUUCACUUGUAAUCGCUUCUCAAACAUAAGCUUAGGAGUUUGAUGAUGUGUCUUGGCAAUAUUAUAUUUUUUUUUGGAAAACCAGGGAAGUGAUUAUUUGAGCAAAAACAAUAUCUGAAUCGAUGAAGUUAUAAUGUGUCAAAAAAAAGUGGUUUGUUGUACAUACCUAUGUGUCUUGUUUCUUUUGAAUAACUCAUAUCCUGGAAGAUAUCAUCUGAAUGAUAUCAAAAGUACAAGCGAAUAUACACAUACAUUCAAAGUAAAACAAAUGCACAAAUUUAUCUUACAUUAGCACAUAUAUUGAAAAGUGACAUACUGCUUGUUUAUGUUAGAAAACGUUUUAAAUCGUUGUUGGUUUGGACUUUGAUGUCUUGGGAGGGAACAAAACUUAGUAUCAAGAAAAAUCUUCCAUUAAAUAAAAACACUAAUUUUUAAUAAACUUUGGUAAUAGAUAAAAUUAUAAUAGAUAAAUAUUGAUACAAUAAAAUUAGUCAGUCAACACUACUGCAGUAGUAUGAAAAAG